CUGUCCUCCAUAACAAUAGAUCGGAUGACCGUUAUUCUCGCCUGCCUCACUUUGCCCAGGGGAGAAAUGCAGUCAUGUUAGUUCUCCUUCCUAGGUUUGUUGUAAGAACGAGAAUUCAUAGGUUUUAAGGGCUUCCAGGCACCGGGAAGAAAGGGCCCCCCCCAGCCUCCCCUCUGCCCGGUCUGGCGUCUGGCCGAGGCUAACUGGUACAGCAGUGGCCGGUGGCCUUUCUGGCUGGUCCGUCCCCGUGCCUCCCCGGCUGUCAACCCCUUGCAGUAUCACCCCUGUCUCUACCCACAGAAGCAAGAGCUGGUUGGGCGGACGGGAGGACGUGACUCAAAGUUUGCUUGGCCGCUUUCUCCUUUAGUGUGGGGACUGUUAGCAGCAGUGACACAGAGAGGACGAAAGAGCGGUGAUGAAUGAGGCCUCUAAAUUACCUCAGGAGGACACUGCUUGAUUGAGCUAAGUACUCUCAGUGGCACCUCAGCUGGCAAUCGCUCAUGUAUUUGUCUGCCGUAGGAGAAGAACUGGUUUGUGCACCAGACACUUCUUCAUAAAGUCCAAAUGCUUCCCAGCUCAGACCGGCCUGGACACGGCUGCCGAGGGACGCACCUGUCACUGCCUCAGACAGACCGCCUCACUCCCCUCCACCGGCGACCAGAGGCGCGUCCCUGUCACCCUCUGUGACGUGGUUACCCUCCUGCUCCCACAGAACACGGCCUCCUCACAGUGUAUUUGGUUUUCUCACCACCUGGGGGCCGAGUCCCUUCCCGUCAGCCACCCCACUGGGGAGCCCAGUGUGAUCCGUCAUCUGCCCCUCUCCGCACCUCUUCAUGGCCACUCCAGGUUCACUGAGGGGGUCAUUUAUUUCCUCCCUGGAAACGUCUGGGUUGUCGGAGUUAGCGACCCUCUCUGGGAGCUGGGGCCUCGCUGAUAACCAGGCUCGGGGCAGAAACUCUCUCCCACCUGGGCACUGUGGAGAAGCAGCAUCUAGAAAGAGCAAGUCUGUACCCCAAGGACUAUAUCAAGUCUCCUGUUUGCCUCUGAGUUUGCAGCCUGUGCUCCACCUCAAGGCCACGGUCCUCGUCCGCACCUCCUUCUCCACACUCUUCAGACCCUCUUGCUUAUUAACACCAACCUGCAAAAAUAGCCAGGUGGCCCAUCCCCUGCACGAGGCAGAUACACAAUGACAGAGCGACUUGGUGUAGCGGUAACAAAUUGUCCGUAUUAUAGCACUUUACAUCUUGAUGUCCAUUCUCCUCAACGGGCUUAUCUGUAAACCGACUGAAUUCACACUGGGAUGCUAAGAAAAUAGCUGUCAUAUAAUAGAUGGGGUCUCCCAGAAAAUGAACAUUUAC
rnacentral:lncRNA from 1 species